AGCAUAGCGAUUUGGGAUAAGUCCCUUGGAAAAGGGCAGCACAGAGGGUGAUACUCCCGUCUUUGCUCAGAUUGUCUAUGUGUACGAUACGCUUUCUUUGAGUCGAGUUGUUUGAGAAUACAGCUCAAAGUAGGUGGUAAAUUCCAUCUAAAGCUAAAUAUUGGUGCGAGACCGAUAGCGAACAAGUACCGUGAGGGAAAGAUGAAAAGAACUUUGAAAAGAGAGUUAAAGAGUACCUGAAACUGUUGAAAGGGAACCGUAACAUGUCCAGUGUUGUAUCUUGUGCAUGUUUCAUUAGUGGAGUAAUUUACUGGUGCCCUGUGCAUAAGUGUGACGUCAAAGUCAGUUUGUAUGCUGCGGGAGAUGGUUAACAAGGAGGUGCGUCGCUUUUGUGUCAGUUAUACCUUGUUAUCUAGUAGCCGUGGUUGAGACUGAGGUGCC
rnacentral:rRNA from 2 species